GCUCCGCAGUCCACAAACCUCUUUCUUUGCAGCAGCUGCCUGCCCGCUCUGUUUCCUCAGCCCUCCCAGCCUGGGACUCAGCUCUUCUUUCAUGCCCAGCUCAGGUCUCUGACUGGCUUUGGGUUGACUCUAGCCUUUGUCUCCCUUCUCUGGAUGGGGAUAAGCAGAGCCAGGGGGCCUCAUUCCAGGCAGUUGGGUUGGGGGGUUGGGGGCAGGCAAAGCUCUCUCCAUUUCCAAGGACCACCUAUCCUGAAGCAAGAGGAUAGGAAGCCCCAACCUGAGGCCAUCCUGUCCCAGGCCCGGAUCAUGAACAUGGAGGCGGGGACGCUGGCAGAGCUGAACACACCCGGGGAGCUGUGCAUCCGAGGGUACUGCGUCAUGCUGGGCUACUGGGGCGAGCCUCAGAAGACGGAGGAAGCAGUGGAUCAGGACAAGUGGUAUCGGACAGGAGAUGUCGCCACAAUGAACGAGCAGGGCUUCUGCAAGAUCGUGGGCCGCUCUAAGGAUAUGAUCAUCCGGGGUGGUGAGAACAUCUACCCCGCAGA
rnacentral:sRNA from 1 species